AGUGAACGCUGGCGGUAGGCCUAACACAUGCAAGUCGAACGGCAGCACAGUAAGAGCUUGCUCUUACGGGUGGCGAGUGGCGGACGGGUGAGGAAUACAUCGGAAUCUACUUUUUCGUGGGGGAUAACGUAGGGAAACUUACGCUAAUACCGCAUACGACCUACGGGUGAAAGCAGGGGAUCUUCGGACCUUGCGCGAUUGAAUGAGCCGAUGUCGGAUUAGCUGGUUGGCGGGGUAAAGGCCCACCAAGGCGACGAUCCGUAGCUGGUCUGAGAGGAUGAUCAGCCACACUGGAACUGAGACACGGUCCAGACUCCUACGGGAGGCAGCAGUGGGGAAUAUUGGACAAUGGACGCAAGCCUGAUCCAGCCAUACCGCGUGGGUGAAGAAGGCCUUCGGGUUGUAAAGCCCUUUUGUUGGGAAAGAAAAGCAGCAGGUUAAUACCCCGCUGUUCUGACGGUACCCAAAGAAUAAGCACCGGCUAACUUCGUG
rnacentral:rRNA from 1 species